rnacentral:rRNA from 1 species
UUAUCUUUAAGUGAAGAAGCUUAAAUUUCUAUGCAGGACAAGAAGACCCUAUAGAGCUUUACCUAAAAAUUGCAAUAUUGGCAAAWAAGGGUUCGGUGGGGGCGACCAGGGGAUAUUUAUCAYCCCUAAUAACUUAGACCCACNGKUCAUUAAAAGAUCCYUACUUAAGAUCAACGAA